UACGUAGGUGGCAAGCGUUGUCCGGAAUUACUGGGCGUAAAGGGCGUGUAGGCGGAUUUUUAAGUCAGGUGUGAAAUCUUUGGGCUUAACCCAGAGUUUGCAUUUGAAACUGGAAGUCUUGAGUGCAGGAGAGGGCAGUGGAAUUCCUAGUGUAGCGGUGAAAUGCGUAGAUAUUAGGAGGAACACCAGUGGCGAAGGCGACUGCCUGGACUGUAACUGACGCUGAGGCGCGAAAGCGUGGGGAGCAAACAGG
rnacentral:rRNA from 1 species